UUCUGCUCUGGCACUCGUUCAUGUCUGAGUGGGGUUCGUGCCUUGAACAACACCUCACAGAGUCGCACGGGUCGACGCACCGGAGAAGAACCAGGACAUCCACAAAAGAUCAAGGUGGAAGGAUUUUUGGACACAUGGGCAGACGUAACCAUACUAGCAGCAAAGGACUGGCUGUGUGGCUGGCUGGCCCACUCCGCGGACACAUGAGUCAGCGGGGUAGGAGGGUCACAGCACCCAGUCAGAAGCAAAGAAAUUGUCACAGUAUACGGGCUGGACGGUAGACCUGCAUCUCUUCAACCAAAGUUUGAAUAUUACAUUGUCCACACAAGAUCUCACACUGCUCUACCAGGCCCUGUGGCGGAGGGAAACCAGAUUACUGACCAUCUAGCAGGUAUGGUUGUUACCACUAAUUUGUAUCAACAGGUUAAAAUUUCCCAUUAAUUUUUUCAUCAAAAUGCACGGUCACUGCAAAAACAAUUUGGCCUAAAAUUAACACAAGCAAAAGAGGUUUUAAAAGCGUGCCCUGACUGUCAAAUGGUUGCCCUGCUGGUUCCAGAGGGGACCAAUCCUAGAGGAUUAGCAGCUUUGGAAAUUUGGCAGUCAGAUGUCACGCACAUACCUGAAUUCGGAAAAUUCAAAUAUGUACAUGUGUCCAUUGACACAUUUUCAAAAAUGAUUGUGGCCACUGUGCAUUCCGGUGAAAAAAGCAGGGAUGUCAAGAGACAUUUUCUAUCAGCGUUUGCAAGGAUGGGAGUCCCAAAACAGAUUAAAACAUAUAAUGGGCCCUCCUAUGUCUCUACAGAUACAAAAAGUUUUUUUGAGGAAUGGGGUGUACACCAUAUCACUGGGGUCCCACAUAACCCCACAGGACA